GUUCUAGGUCUAGUAUUAGUUCUAGUUUUAGUGCAAUAAAAAUAUACAACAUAGUGGCAUCUAGCAACAUCAU